AUUGGAUCAGUGAUGUUCAGUAAUUAUAAACUGCGUUAUCUAUCUGAAAUUUCCUCAAUUGGAUAUUCAAGAUGUCAACCAAAUUUGCUGAGAUCCGUC